CAGAGAAUAGUUUAAUAUAAAAUGUUAAUUUUGGGGAUUAAUGAUGGAGGUAACUCUUUCUCUGA
rnacentral:tRNA from 2 species